AAAAAGAAAGAAGGAAGAAGAAGGAAGGAAAGAAAAGAAAGAAGGAAAUAAAGAAAAGAAAAGAAAGAAAAGAAAGAAAGAAGAAGGAAAGAAAGAAAAAGGAAGGAAAGAAAAAAAGAAAUAAAGAAAGAAGGAGAAAGAAAGAAAGAAAGAAAGAAGAAAGAAAGAAAGAAAGAAAGAGAAAGAAGAAGGAAGGAAAGAAGAAAGAAAAAAGAAAGAAGGAAAGAGAAGAAAGAAAAGAAAUAAAGAAAGAAAGAAGGAAGAAAGAAAAAAGAAAGAAGAAAGAAGGAAGGAAGGAAAGAAAGAAAAAAGAAAGGAAGGAAGAAAGAAAGAAGGAAGAGAAAGAAGAAGGAAAGAAAGAAGAAAGAAAGAAGGAAAGAAGGAAAGAAAGAGGGAAAGAAAUAAAGAAGGAAAGAGAAAAAGAAAGAAAGAGAAAAAGAAAGAAAGAGAAAGAAAAAGAAAGGAAGAAAGGAAAGAAAGAAAGAAGGAAAGAAAAAGAAAGAAAAGAAAGAAGAAAGAAAGAAAGAAAGAAGAGAAAGAAGAAAGAAAGAAAAGAAAAAGGAAAGAAAGAAAGAAAGAAAGGAAGAAAAAGAAACAAAGAAGGAAGGAAGGAAAGAAAGAAAGAAGGAAGGAAAGAAAGAAAGAAGAAAGAAAAAAGAAAGAAGAAAAAGAAAAAGAAAGAAAAGAAAAAGAAAAAAGAAAAAGAAAGAAAGAAGAAAGAAAGAAAGAAGAAAGAAAAAAGAAGAAGAAAAGAAAAGAAAGAAAGAAAGAAAGAAGGAAGAAAGAAAGAAAGAACGAAAGAAGGAAGGAAGGAAAGAAAAGAAAGAAGGAAGGAAAGAAAGAAAGAAGGAAAGAGAAAAAGAAAGAGAAAGAAAAAGAAAGAAAAAGAAAGGAAGGAAGGAAGGAAGGAAGGAAGGAAGGAAGGAAGAAAGAAAGAAAGAAAGAAAAGAAAGAAAGAAAGAAAGAAAGAAAGAAAAGAAAGAAAGGAAAAGAAAGAAAGAAAGAAAGAAAGAAAGAAAAGAAAGAAAGAAAGAAAGAAAGAAAGAAAAAGACAGACUUGCCUAGUGGUAUGCAAACCCGGGAUAAAAGGAAAACCCAGAACCGGACAACUAGCCGGAGGUUCCGCAAGUAACAUCAACGUGGUUGAGAAGAGGAGGGGCUGGCAUAGCAGCUGGAAGGCUGGAGAAGCAGGGAUGAAACGAAGCCACACUGCAGAGGCCACGCUGUGGCUCACAGGGGAGGGGACACACAGUGGAGGGGGGCUGACCCAGCUCGGCGGCCUGCAACAGGAAGUGGGACGGGCGGCGUGCCAAGCCCGAAGCAGGACCCGGGAAGGGGGAGAGGCCCGUGGCACCCUGUCGCAGGGUCUCCCGGCGGCACGACCCACCGCCCCAAGCCCCGUGCCUCCAGACACGGGCCGCUCCAUCACAGCUUCCGCGGGCCUUGAAGGCCAGGCCACGCCGCGCAGCACUGACUCAGCCUCUCCUCGGGGC
rnacentral:lncRNA from 1 species